CGGUUGCCGUCUUGCGUGCGCUACGGUGCUAGCCUGCAGCUGUUUUACAGUCAAGUAUAAUUGCCAGCGAAAAUCGUUGACAAAAAACUUCAAGCUUAAGUUGCACAAAACGGAAAACAAAAGGGCUUCCAUGAUAAACGGCAAACGGCAAUGUGAUCGCCGAUCCAGAUAGUGGCAUUGCGUAGAUUUUCAAGGAAAUGGAUGCAGGCAGAAUAGAGAUUCUAUGGAGACAGAAAGCCAUAACCAAUACUCAGGAUUGAUUGUUGCUAGAAUCGGUAUAACUGUACAAAGAUUAAUUGCAAAUCAAUCAACGAUCUUUCAGAACAAAUCAAUAUUACACUAAGUUGCACUAGCACGCUACCACUACCACUAUCGAGAUAAUAUUGAACGAGCUGUUUGGAUACGUCGGGUUAGACAACAAAGUAAACAAGGCAAAAAGGCAACACAGGGGUGACGAUAGGAACACGGCACUAAGCACUUAAGGCGUUAAGAUUAUCGAUAUCCAACUGGCCGUUGUCGAGUGAACAAGUCUUGAGCUGUUAAAACCGCACAAACCACUUUAGUAACAACACUGACGACGAACUAAAAGUAAGUGUUAAAUGCGACUGCGGGCAAGUGGCGACCGUGGCGACGUCGAGACUAGCUCGUUUGACCAGCACGAGAACCAGAAAGCCAGAAAUAAGAUGAAUGAUCCGCAAGAAAUCCACGAAGAUGAAAACGAGAACGGUGGCGGAGAUGAAGAUGUGGUGCAGUGCCUUCGGCUCCUUCGUUUCAGAGCCGCUCGCUGUGCCAAUCCACCGAGAAUUGUUAGCUUUAAAUGCAAAGUCCAGUGUUCCAGUAAGAAUAAUGCGAAUAUGCUCUGACCGUAGUACUAUGUAGAUCCUUGGCAUAUACUCACAUGUAGUUCCACGCACUUACAUAUAUGAUUACCUUUUUUGUGAUCGAAACCUUGGUUCAAACACAACUGCUGUUUUCGUUCAUCAGAUAUUAUUUACUAAACCUUAGUUAUCCAUUCUCAUCCACGAAGAGCAAUACACUUUUUGACUGCUUUAUGAUGAUUGUUAAUUGAAUCAUCCCUUCACGCAGUAAAGAUUUUAUAUGGGGUCAUGAUUCACCCUGCCUUGAAAUUAAUCGCCAGUGGGCGUUUGAUUAGGCAAAUGACCAACACAGUGAUUUGUUACUUCUGGUAAUCAUAGCUCUUUAUAUUUUCUGGAAAUUGCCCAAUAAUAUUCAUAAAUCAUUGC
rnacentral:lncRNA from 1 species